UACGAAGGGGGCUAGCGUUGCUCGGAAUCACUGGGCGUAAAGGGUGCGUAGGCGGGUCUUUAAGUCAGGGGUGAAAUCCUGGAGCUCAACUCCAGAACUGCCUUUGAUACUGAAGAUCUUGAGUCGGGAGAGGUGAGUGGAACUGCGAGUGUAGAGGUGAAAUUCGUAGAUAUUCGCAAGAACACCAGUGGCGAAGGCGGCUCACUGGCCCGGUACUGACGCUGAGGCACGAAAGCGUGGGGAGCAAACAGG
rnacentral:rRNA from 1 species